AACGAACGCUGGCGGCAGGCCUAACACAUGCAAGUCGAGCGCCCGGAUUUAUCCGGGAGCGGCGCACGGGUGAGUAACGCGUGGGAACAUGCCCUGAAGUACGGAACAACCUGGGAAAACCUUGGCUAAUACCGUAUACGCCCUGAGGGGGAAAGAUUUAUCGCUUUGGGAUUGGCCCGCGUUGGAUUAGCUGGUUGGUGUGGUAACGGCGCACCAAGGCGACGAUCCAUAACUGGUCUGAGAGGAUGACCAGUCACACUGGGACUGAGACACGGCCCAGACUCCUACGGGAGGCAGCAGUGGGGAAUAUUGGACAAUGGGCGAAAGCCUGAUCCAGCCAUGCCGCGUGAGUGAAGAAGGCCUUCGGGUUGUAAAGCUCUUUCAGCGGGGACGAUGAUGACGGUACCCGCAGAAGAAGCCCCGGCUAACUUCGUGCCAGCAGCCGCAGUAA
rnacentral:rRNA from 1 species